GCGCACCUAGCUCCCCUAGCUCAGCUCAUCACCAAUCAGUGGUCACUCGAUUGGCCCAUGCGUCCGCAGCUCGCGAUCGUCAGACCUGGCCGGUCGCUUGCCCGGAUCGCCCCAAUACGCCCUCAUGAUGGGCUCAAGGUGACAGCUCGGUCAGAUCUGGGGCCGUGCGUGAAGUGAUCUAGUCCAUUGUAGGCGUGCUCAUGGAGCUCAUGUCGUUGACCCUGUUUCGGCUGUUGGGGAUGAUGUGCUCCAUCCUAACCUUCCUCACCGUGCUGUCCAACCUGCAGUUCCUCACCAUCUCCCACAUCUUGUCCAGCGCCAUCUCGGAGUCACUGGAAUUUGCAUACUAUCUCCAAAAUCUGAGAAGCACUAAGGGCAAGUUUUUUCAGAGUACAGGUUUACAUGGAAUUAUAAAAGAGUAGAUCAUGAUAAUGUAGACUAAGUGGUACCUUUUGGAAAAGAAAGCUCCAUACUAAUAUCGUAUCUUUAGUUGUUGAAACAACUGUGUCCUCGUAAAGAUGAUAAGAUAUAAAAUAUGAUUAAAACAAUCUUUAUGUUUAAAAGCAGAACAAUCCAUGCCAAAAGGUAGUAAAUUCAGAAUUCCAAUUAUGAAUGUUAGCUUCUAUAGUCCAUGAAAAAAAACAGUUGCAAAGCAGUACUCUAGUAUUCUUAACUCCACUAAGAUUAGUUGUGAUUAAUCACAACCGACGUCAGAACUAACUAAUUCCAUUAGAAAGACCUAUC
rnacentral:lncRNA from 1 species